rnacentral:rRNA from 1 species
GACGAACGCUGGCGGCGUGCCUAAUACAUGCAAGUCGAGCGGACCAAAGGGAGCUUGCUCCUGGAGGUUAGCGGCGAACGGGUGAGUAACACGUGGGUAAUCAACCCUUCAGCCUGGGAUAACGACUCGAAAGGGUCGCUAAUACCGGAUACGGCGCGAGAGGCUUCGGCUUCUCACGAGAAAGCCACGCAAGGGGCACUGAAGGACGAGCCUGCGGCCCAUCAGCUAGUUGGUGAGGUAAGAGCUCACCAAGGCUAAGACGGGUAGCUGGUCUGAGAGGAUGAUCAGCCACACUGGAACUGAGACACGGUCCAGACUCCUACGGGAGGCAGCAGUGGGGAAUAUUGCGCAAUGGGCGAAAGCCUGACGCAGCCACGCCGCGUGAGCGAUGAAGGCCUCGGUCGUAAGACUCUGUGGGAGGAGGACGAAGAAAGA